GAUGAACGCUAGCUACAGGCUUAACACAUGCAAGUCGAGGGGAAACGAUAUUGGAAGCUUGCUUCCGAUAGGCGUCGACCGGCGCACGGGUGAGUAACGCGUAUCCAACCUGCCCAUCACUUGGGGGAUAAACCUUGCGAAAGUAAGACUAAUACCCAAUGACGUCUCUAGAAGACAUCUGAAAGAGAUUAAAGGAUUUAUCGGUGUACGAUGGGGAUGCGUUCCAUUAGGUAGUAGGCGGGGUAACGGCCCACCUAGCCGACGAUGGAUAGGGGUUCUGAGAGGAAGGUCCCCCACAUUGGAACUGAGACACGGUCCAAACUCCUACGGGAGGCAGCAGUGAGGAAUAUUGGUCAAUGGACGAGAGUCUGAACCAGCCAAGUAGCGUGAAGGAUGAAGGUCCUACGGAUUGUAAACUUCUUUUAUAAGGGAAUAAACCCUCCCACGUGUGGGAGCUUGUAUGUACCUUAUGAAUAAGCAUCGGCUAACUCCGUG
rnacentral:rRNA from 1 species